GAUCCCGCCCCGCCAGCUCUGCAUCCCCUGCUCCUUUGGGUCUCCUGUGAAACUGGUUAAUAAUAAAGAGCAAAAGCCCCCUGGCCCUUAUCACUCUUUUAUUAAACUCACUUGCAUGAUAGCUUUAACACUGUGUGCUCAUUUUUCUGCUUCCAGCCUUAAGGCGGAUACAAUAUAUGAGUAAAGACAUAGCUUGUUUUACUAGCCAGUGUAGUUCCACAGGAACACGGUAGAUAAGUUACAUAUGUUAAAGCCGUUGUAGUGAUGUGCACCAAAACCUCAUGUGAAAAGAACUCCGAAUCAGCUCUUCUCCAGGGAAUCGUCAGCAGGCUUGGAGAACUCCCUGCCGCAUAGACUUGGCAUCGGCACGCGCUUGUUACAGAUCCACUGACGGCUCCUGGUUUUGCUAAUAGCACAGAAGCAGACGAGCAAACACCGGCCAAGUCUCGUCUUGAAAACCGUUGAGAGCCAGAUUCGCGCAGCCUAAAUCCCCCGCGCUGGUGUUUCCUUUUGGCUAGGCACCUCUGAAGACUUCUACCGAGUUUCCUAGGUCAUCAGGCAUAAGCAGGUGAAUACGGAUGUUUCCAGUCUCUCAUUUCUUGAUGUUAUGCCACACUUCUGCUGCUCCCUUUGUCCAAAAUGGACCUUCCAGCUUUACAAGGGCUGCAGAUGGCUCAGAGACCUUUGUGAAGUGAGUUUGUAAUUUUAUUUACAUUUGCCUCCUUACAAGUGAACACUCCAUUUCUUCACAGAGGAAGCAUACAGGGCUGUGAGCUCACUCUGACUGACCUAAUUUCAAUCCUUAAUCAUCUUUUAAGAUGACUGUUUUCAGAGAACUAGCAGAACCAGUUGGAGUAUGAAGUUAGGUGUCAUAUCCUGCCUAUUCCAUGAGAAGAAAAAAAAAAAAAAAAAAAAGCCAUUCCAGCCUCGCCAGGAAGGGUAUGUUUGAAGUCUUUCCCAGUUACUGCCUCCACCUGCCCUGCUGGCUGUUCUCAGAACCAGCAGCGCGGACGGCCUCUGACCAGUCCGACCCGUGCACACGGAGCAGGUCCUCCUCAAGGCACGUUCUGCCCCUGCCCGUGGAUAUGUGGCGUGACAGAAGCAUCAUGAUACCGACAGGUUCCAGCCCAUCCUGGGAAACAAUGCCAUGGCGUCAUUAACCCCAAAGUGCCACGUCACCUAUUCUCAGGAGGAAGGGGGGAGUUCGAAACACACAUACUUCUCUGUUUCCUUCUGUUGGCUGGCUGGAUUUUUAAAGGGCCCGAUUAAAUUACCAGAAUUCAAAGUGAGUGCAGUAGGUAUUUCCUUUUAGUAUUAACCUCUGUUGUUUCCCCAGAAGCAAGUAAAACUGCUGUUAGGGAGUUCGUGCACCACUUGUUGAUGGGAGAGAUGAGACACCCACUGUGAUGGGGGGGAAAAAAAAGAACAGAACUAACAAGUUCUAUUGCAGAAUUGAUAUUAUCUCAAAGAAUCAAAGUUUGUGCUGCCUUCUUUUUUUCAGCAUACAAAAUUAAUUUGUAAACAGUCUUUCUUCAAGUAUCAAUUAAAGAGGGAGAGACUACACAGGCUCCUUGAUUUCCAAGCCUAUCUUUCUUAGCCAGCUGGAAGGGAACUUUCCAUGCAGUUGAAGCUGUUAACGAAAGGUAAGAUGAGCAUGUUUACACGUGUUUGUACUUUACAUAUUCUACCAGAAAAAAACUAUUUAAAUCACCAUUAAAAUUCAGUUCCAUGGAUGCAGGGUUGUCUUGAUGUAAACACAGCUUAUUAAUCACACAUUUUCAUGUCAACGGAACCUCAAGAUUUUAUUUUUCUGUGGAGGUGAUGGCAUCCUCCAGGUAUUUUUUUAAACUUUGAGUUGCUUUCCUCCCUGCAUGCCUUAUACUUUCUCAUGUGUCCCAGAGGUCUCCUGUCAUUCUUUAGAAAAAUGGAGCCGCACAGGAAUUCUUUAAGAGCCUAUCAGCACCACUCCCAAAUUAGCCAGACAGGAUACUGUUUGUUUAAUUUCGCAAGACAUUUGCUUUACCCAAAGGCAAAAGCGCUACCUCACAGAAUUCCCAGCCAUGAGGCUCUACACUUUUUAAGGAUUUUUUUUUUUGUGGCAGAGGAGUAAGUUAUCCUAACCGAGGCACAAAACAUAUUGAUGCAUUUAAUAAUGCAACCAGGUUGUUGAAUACAAUAUAAUUAGAUGUCUUUUAAACACUUCACUAUACUCACUUAAGAAAGGCCCUAAUCUGCUCUAAUUGGCUUCACAGUAACUGCAAAGAGAAAAAUUGGCUGCAAAUAAAUCUGCAGGCUUUUGCAAUAGCCCAUUGUCUGAUGUUUCUAAACAGUCCACACCAGUGCGUUGCUGUUCGUAUUUUGAUGGGUUUAAAUAGUAUUUUCUUAGGACCUGACAGAUACAGAUGAAUGAAUAUUGUCUGUAUAGAGGAGAAAGAAUUUCACUCUCUAGAAAGGUUUUACAUACUAUUUUUUAUUACUGUUCUCAUAGGAGUUUGGAUAUUAAGGGAAUAUGAUGAGAAAUCAUCUCUUCUUUAGCUAGGCGUAAGGAAAGCUUCUACUUUGCCAAUGCUGCUACACCUCCUCUAGCAGCACAAUGACCCGAAUCCCAGCGCCUAGUUGUGACCCUCUCUGAACUUUGCAUACAGUUAUAGUGAAUUCAGGUUCUGGCCUUUCUCAGGAGCGGAGAAGAAAAAGCACAGCUCUGAGCUGCGGGGCUUCACUUCGCUGUCAUGGGGGAGCACAGCUCUGAGGCCGGCUCUGCACAGCGGCCCCGCUCGCCCCGGCGAGCACGGCAGCCCCGGAGCCGUGGCACAUCCCCUCCUGCUGCAAAGUAACUUCGGUUCAGCUGAUCCGGUGACAGCAGCAGGGAGGAAUUUUCUGCUGCAAGUGCUGAGCGCAGACAAAGAGGCCGCUUAACUCUCUCUGUGCAACCGAAUCCUGCGGGGCUCGCGCACGCCUGCGUGCUUCCCGCGCGGGCCCGCGGAGCGCGUGCGGCGGCGAGGCGGCCUGCUGCGUCUUGCCUGGUGCGCUAGCGAGACUGAGAGAGACCCGCCGCAAGCCAAAAGAGCUCUCAGUUACACGUUGUUUCCUCGUUUGUGCUCCGGAUUGCUCCGGCCUCUCUUUGGUGCCCUGGCCUCGCUCCCUGUGGGGGCUGCAGGACCCCGUGGAGGCUGUGGGUCUCUGUGGGGACUGCAGGUCUCUGUGGGGGCUGGGGGCCCCCGUGGAGGCUGCGGGUCUCUGUGGGGGCUGCGGGACCCCGUGGAGGCUGCAGGACCACGUGGAAGCUGCGGGUCUCUG